CAGUGGGAGAAAGAUUCAAGAAGGAGAGGUGACCCGCUCGAGGGAGACGUCGGCGAUUCAACCCACCCAGGAAACUGAUCAAAGAGCUCGAAAAUAUUAAGCUCCUCUCCACACAGAUUCACAAGGUCCAAAUGGGGAAGCUGACAGAAGAUCCGCCAUCACUGAAGGUAAAAAA